rnacentral:rRNA from 1 species
AGUGAACGCUGGCGGUAGGCCUAACACAUGCAAGUCGAACGGCAGCACAGUAAGAGCUUGCUCUUACGGGUGGCGAGUGGCGGACGGGUCAGGAAUACAUCGGAAUCUACUUUUUCGUGGGGGAUAACGUAGGGAAACUUACGCUAAUACCGCAUACGACCUACGGGUGAAAGCAGGGGAUCUUCGGACCUUGCGCGAUUGAAUGAGCCGAUGUCGGAUUAGCUAGUUGGCGGGGUAAAGGCCCACCAAGGCGACGAUCCGUAGCUGGUCUGAGAGGAUGAUCAGCCACACUGGAACUGAGACACGGUCCAGACUCCUACGGGAGGCAGCAGUGGGGAAUAUUGGACAAUGGGCGCAAGCCUGAUCCAGCCAUACCGCGUGGGUGAAGAAAGCCUUCGGGUUGUAAAGCCCUUUUGUUGGGAAAGAAAAGCAGCAGGUUAAUACCCCGCUGUUCUGACGGUACCCAAAGAAUAAGCAACGGCUAACUUCGUG